UCCCGAACCGGUUUCGAACCGGUAAUCCCUGCGUGAGAGUCACGCACGCUUCCGACUGAGCCAUCAUUGG
rnacentral:tRNA from 1 species